rnacentral:lncRNA from 10 species
GCCAUCUCGGCUUACUGCAACCUCCGCCUCCCAGGUUGAAGUGAUUCUCCUGCCUCAGCCUCCUGAAUAGCUGGGAUUACAGGCGCCCACCACCGUGCCCGCUAAUGUUUGUAUUUUUUUAGUAGAAAGACAGGGUUUCACCAUGUUGGCCAAGCUGGUCUCGAACUCCUGACCUCAGGUGAUCCAUCCACCUUGGCCUCCCAAAGUUCUGGGAUUACAGGUGUGAGCCACCACGCCCAGCCUGAGCCACCACACCCGGCCUGAGUUCGCCUUAUUGUCUAGAACCCAGGUGAGGAUGGAGUGAAGGUGGUGGGUGUGGAAGAGCAUGUUAGCUUUGCUUCUAGGAAAGUAAGUGGAGCUAUCAGCCUGAGCUCUGUGAGCAUGCAUAAAAGGAGUAACAAGUCACUUCUCUCAAUCUUUUUUUUUUUUUGAGACGGAGUCUCGCUCUGUCGCCUAGGCUGGAGUGCAGUGGCUCCAUCUUGGCUCACUGCAACCUCCGCCUCCUGGGUUCAAGUGAUUCUUCUGCCUCAGCCUCCUGAGUAGCUGAGACUACAGGUGCGCACCACCAUGCCUGGCUAAUUUUUGUAUUUUUAGUAGAGACGAGGUUUCCCCUUGUUGAACAGGCUCGUCUUGAACUCCUGUCCUCAGGUGAUCCACGUGCUAGGGCCUCCCGAAGUGCUGGGAUUACAGGUGUGAGCCACCAUGCCCAGCUCACUUCUCUCAACCUUUGAGGCAUCUCUUGAGUUGCUCACCAAGAAGAGAGGGAGAAAAGAGAGCAAACAGUGUACAGUAAGUCAAGAAGACGAUGAGUGUAAUGUAACAAGGUAGGGAAGACCAAGAACCUUUUGGAGCAAGAUGGCUACAUUAGGAUUUCUGGUCAGUCAGGUCACAUAAAUAAGGCAGAUAGGAACGUUGACACUGGGAAGACACCGUUCCCAGAAGCCAAAUAGACAAGACUAUCUGGCCAGUCAGAUACACGGUUAAACUAACAGACUUUUAAGGAAAAUGAAUAUGUUAUUUGUACUUACAGUCAACCAGCCAAACUAUUAUCGAUAUUAUUAUAUGGCAACAACAUAGCAUCUUUCUAGAAAUAUUAAUGAACAAAUUAGGAAUUGUCAUAAAACAGCAAAAGGGGCAGAGGAAAUCAAUGAAGCACACUAGAGUUUAACUCUUUCCCUUAAACAAUUGAGUUUUUAAAUAAGUAAAUCCUGUGACUCCCAGACUGAGGCAGGAGGAUUGCUUGAGUCCAAGAGUUGGAAACUAGCCUGUGCAACAUAGUGGGACCCUAUCUCUACAAAAAAUAAAAAAUUAGCCGAGUGUGGAGGCACGUGCCAGUAAUCUCAACUAUUCCAGAGGCUGAGGCGGGAGGAUUGCUUGAGCCGGGGAAGUCAA